rnacentral:tRNA from 1 species
UGCAUCGCCCGGGAAUCGAACCCGGGCCGCCCGCGUAGCAGGCGAGUAUUCAAUCACUGAACCACCGAUGG